rnacentral:miRNA from 1 species
UAAAACACUCAAGUUGGCGUGA